rnacentral:rRNA from 1 species
AGAGAGAGACAUGCGCGCAUAUCAAUAAGCGGAGGAAAAGAAACUAACAAGGAUUACCCCUAGUAACGGCGAGUGAAGCGGGAAGAGCUCAAAUUUGAAAUCUUAAAGGGUUUCCCUUUACGAAUUGUAGUUUAAAGAAGUGUUUUCUGUUGAGGUUUUGGUAAAAGUUCUUUGGAAUAGGACAUCAUAGAGGGUGAGAAUCCCGUAUUUGACCUUUACUUUCAACUUUGUGAUACACUUUCAAAGAGUCGGAUUGUUUGGGAAUGCAGUCCAAAAUGGGUGGUAAAUUUCAUCUAAAGCUAAAUAUUGGCGAGAGACCGAUAGCGAACAAGUACCGUGAGGGAAAGAUGAAAAGAACUUUGAAAAGAGAGUUAAACAGUACGUGAAAUUGUCAAAAGGGAAGCGUUUGACACCAGUGUUGUUUUUCUGAAAAUCAAUUAAAGAACUGUUUACUGCUAAGCUGUUUAGACUUUAUCAGCUAACUGUUUAGUUUUGAGCUUUUCUUUAAUGCACUUUUCAGUUAACAAGUCAACAUCAAUUUCUUUUGCUGUAAAAAAGCUUGAGGAAGGUGGCUUGAGAUUCGUCUUAAGUGUUUAUAGCCUCUUGCCUAUGCAGUCGGAGAGAUUGAGGUCUGCAGCGUAGAUCCUUCGGGGCUAAAUGCAUUUGUGCUAAGUUAUAACAUUUUAUAGACAACUUGUUGACUAUGAUUUGUCUUGUAGCUUACUCGCUUAUGUUAUUUUACCUACGCUUAGGAUGUUGACGCAUGAGAUAUACGC